AUGGAUUAAGAACUGCGCAAUUUCCUAAUGGCCAUCGCUGGGAUCCUAGUGUCCUCCUAAAAAUAAAGAACGCGUAUUUGGAAUGAACAUGCUUGUGGCAAACCUGUGCGCGGUGCACGCAGCUACGACGUAUGUGGAUUGGCGAUUUUGAAAAGGGAUGUUCAGUUCUUAGUUCUGAGAGGGCUGUACACUCAUUUUGGAGGACGAUAUGACUGUGCAAGAUAUAUAAUUACUGGUCGGGUUUUCGAAUAUGUAACAAGAAGAGUCUGUUCGUAAUGCCAGGCCAGUGGGUGAUUCUCUAAACGCUCGAAUCUCUCCCAAGCAAGGAUUUUAUUAUGUAUCUGCGUGUAGUUUCUCCAAACCGAUAUUUUCAAAUGCAUUAUGGAUUUUUGGAACAUUAUUCACCUAUUACUUAAUUUUGUGAACGUUUUCGGAGGGCUGCGUGGCUGAACUAACGACAUUUGGGGGCAAAGAAGCUACGUAGCCGUUUUUUUUUAACGUUACAGUAUUUUAACAAUGAGGGCAGCAACGGCACCUCCCAUGAGAAAUCUGCAUGCACAAACAGCAUGGAGACCUACCAUGGCACAGCCUCGGUAUGCUGCCAGCCUGGUGUCACCUGAACGGACAUUAGAGAUGUGAACCUGCAGUUGGCAUCAUGGUCAGGGCUUUGCAGCAACAGCGGGGAGCCAUUCAAAAUGGGGUGUGGAAAAGGGCGGCAGUCUGGUCGGCGGGAGCGUGCAGUUGUCCAGGACCAUGAAUCCUUAACCAGACUGGAGGAUACAGACAGAGAGAGGAGAGAGAGCAACAGAGAAGGAGAUGACUUCAUCCACUGUGCCCACUUGCUGAAGACAUGGGCACGCCGCGGGUGAUGGGAUCAGCUACAUUAAUGAGAGACAGUAAAGAGAGAGAGGGACUAAAGAGAGAGAGAGAGUGAAAAAAGAAAAUGAAAAAACAGUGAGAGAGGAGUAUACAUAUAUCUGCUCGGUGAUUGGCAUGGUGGCAUAAAUUUUAGCGACAUCCUCCCUGGCACCCCUGUGCCUCGCUCCGAAACACUCAGACCUAUUUUUACACCAACUGUUACUUCAGUUUAAACAUGCUGUUUGUGUGUGUGUGUGUGUGUGUGUGCACCUGUGUAAAAUACCUUUCCCAUGUUGUGAGAGACCAUACAAGAUGGUGUCUGAUAAGUGUGUGUCUUCCUGUGUGUGUGUGUGUAGAGAGAGGUGGGGUAAGAGAGGAGAGGAGGACACAGGUGUCUCAACACUACAACUCUAUAGGGGGCUAGUGAGGGGUGAAAAGAGGCAGAAGCUGAUUAGUUAGUAAGUUACAUGUCUUGGUAAGAGAUCGGGGUGUUGCUGAACAAUGUUUUGUGUUCAGGGAUAGAGAUCUUCAAGGUGCUACACCAGCGUUUCUGUUCUUAAAAUGUGGCGCUGGACAUUUGACCGGCAGCAUUGGGUGUGAAACCUGAUUAGAGAGUCUAACUCAAUGUGUUCAGAUUGACAGAAAUCACAUUUAGAUGAUGGUAAUUCAUCUUAACAGAAUAUGCAUGUCGAGGAUGCAAGGAUGUGUGUCCUGACCGCGCACUUUGAAGAUACUAGAAUAACUGUCCCCAUUGACUUUUCCCUCAGCCAGCAAGAGCAGCAAAAUCACUAGCCAUUGCAUAGACUGAGCGUGAGUUUUCAAGUUUGGGGAAACAAAUGUCCCCCAUAAAAAUGCACCUUUAUAAGAAAACAUUCCAUGCAUCAUCGCAUUUGCAGACUUAUGUAAGAUGGCUUACUAUUUGUGAUGUGAUCAGUAGACUGGCGAGUCAUAAUUUAUGCUAAUAGUAUAUUUAAAUCACUGUUCACAAAAAAGACUGUUCAAUGCAUGGCUGAGCGUGUAUAGUGUAGAGGACUGGGCUAUAGGUGCGGGAAAAGCACAUUUCAUGCAAUUCUACCACACUUUAAAUGACUGGAGACAUUAGUUGUCCUAUGAGAAAGGGAGACACAAAUAGAAUAUGACGUCCAUCUAAAAUGGAGGAGGAAAUUACUGUCCAAAAACGAACUACUAAGUGGCACUGACCUAGCAAUGACAAAAUGUGAAUAUGCGCAGGGCGCAUUCACUGGGGAUAUGGCUGAUGGUCUCUGCUGGUGCCAGUAAGGUAGGCUAUAGGCCUUCUGUUCGCUCAAUUCAUUUGAGGGUUUUGAUAACUAAAAGGCUGAUUAGAGUCUCUUCAUUAUCUACUCUUUACAGCAAUAGCAAUUUGCUCUCCAAGCGAUGUUUUCCUGCGAUAGAAUUUAGAAAUAUUGCAAUAUGCCAGGCUGUGUCUUUCUACUUUUCACUGACAGUUGCAACUCAACAAUAAUAUUGGUAUUUGCAGCGAGCGCUGUCCAAUUUGUGCACGCUGCCUUUCAGUCUGACUGUAGGCAAUGCGAUUUAAAUCAAUCCACAAUUUAUUUAUUUUUAAGGGGAAGCUAAUGAACCUCUGUGGCCAAGUCAUGCUUUAGUAGCCUAUUUAGAAUGAUUGUAGGCUAAUUAGGCUAUCAAUUUAGUUAGUGAAAGUUUAGCUUCCCCUCGCCUUAUGGAUGUGUCGCCUAUGAGCCUAUGUCAAUCUACUAUCCCCCAUAGUAGAAAAGGUUCCCUUUUAUAUUGGUCCGGUUGUCGAGAAGGAAAUAGCCCAAACGGACUCUGGGACAGUUGUGGGAAGAUCUAUCCCAAAUUCAUACAACCAGUAGGCCUAAGCUACAUAAUAAAAUGCUGCAUUAUGCAAAUUAACCUAUAGACCAAUAAGCAUGACCGGUCAAAUGUACAGUAUGUCCAUCAACUGGUAUUACCAUCAAUGAAUAGGCUAAAAAGCAUUAUUUCACAAUGUCUUUUUUUCUCUCCGAAAAUUGGCUGGUGCCAAUUUGAUUUAUCGGUGUUUCUACGUUUUUUAACAUCCAAAAGCUAGCUAUUACUGGCCAACGCAAACCCUGAUACACACGCAUAGAAACAUGCUGUACUAAUGAAUAUAUACAGUGCCUUGCGAAAGUAUUCGGCCCCCUUGAACUU